rnacentral:rRNA from 1 species
UACGUAGGGGGCGAGCGUUGUCCGGAUUCAUUGGGCGUAAAGAGCUCGUAGGCGGCUUGUCAAGUCGGGUGUGAAAACUCCAGGCUCAACCUGGAGACGCCACUCGAGACUGUCAUGGCUAGAGUCCGGUAGGGGAUCACGGAAUUCCUGGUGUAGCGGUGAAAUGCGUAGAUAUCGGGAGGAACACCAGUGGCGAAGGCGACUUCCUGGCCUGUUCUUGACGCUGAGGCGCGAAAGCUAGGGUAGCAAACGGG